rnacentral:misc_RNA from 1 species
UGUCAGCACGAUGGACCCCAAACAGACCACCCUCCUGUGUCUUGGGAGGUAUAUUAGCGAGCAUUUUUGGUGUUGAAGUUUGGGCUGCAAUCCGGUAAAUGAUGCUUCAGCACAACGGCCAGGGGACUUUCCCAUGCCUUUCAUAUCUGCCAAAUCGAGUCCUGUGAUUCCCUUGGAUGGAUCUGUGAAAAUCCAGUGCCAGGCCAUUCGUGAAGCUUACCUGACCCAGCUGAUGAUCAUAAAAAACUCCACGUACCGAGAGAUAGGCAGAAGACUGAAGUUUUGGAAUGAGACUGAUCCUGAGUUCGUCAUUGACCACAUGGACGCAAACAAGGCAGGGCGCUAUCAGUGCCAAUAUAGGAUAGGGCACUACAGAUUCCGGUACAGUGACACCCUGGAGCUGGUAGUGACAGACUCCAUCCACCAAGAUUACACGACGCAGAACUUGAUCCGCAUGGCCGUGGCAGGACUGGUCCUCGUGGCUCUCUUGGCCAUACUGGUUGAAAAUUGGCACAGCCAUACGGCACUGAACAAGGAAGCCUCGGCAGAUGUGGCUGAACCGAGCUGGAGCCAACAGAUGUGUCAGCCAGGAUUGACCUUUGCACGAACACCAAGUGUCUGCAAGUAA